rnacentral:rRNA from 1 species
GGAUUAGAUACCCUGGUAGUCCACGCCGUAAACGAUGUGUACUAGUUCGAUGCGGAUCUGACUCCGUGUCGGACGCCGAGAAAUCAUUAAGUACACCGCCUGGGGAGUACGGUCGCAAGGCUAAAACUCAAAGGAAUUGACGGGGGCUCACACAAGCGGUGGAGUAUGUGGUUUAAUUCGACGCAACGCGCAGAACCUUACCCGGCCUUGACAUCGAGGGAAAGCCCUAUGAAAGUAGGGCCCUCAUCUUCGGAUGACCCAAAGACAGGUGCUGCAUGGCUGUCGUCAGCUCGUGUCG